rnacentral:rRNA from 1 species
GACGAACGCUGGCGGCGUGCUUAACACAUGCAAGUCGAACGGAAAGGCCCUGCUUUUGUGGGGUGCUCGAGUGGCGAACGGGUGAGUAACACGUGAGUAACCUGCCCUUGACUUUGGGAUAACUUCAGGAAACUGGGGCUAAUACCGGAUAGGAGCUCCUGCUGCAUGGUGGGGGUUGGAAAGUUUCGGCGGUUGGGGAUGGACUCGCGGUUUAUCAGCUUGUUGGUGGGGUAGUGGCUUACCAAGGCUUUGACGGGUAGCCGGCCUGAGAGGGUGACCGGCCACAUUGGGACUGAGAUACGGCCCAGACUCCUACGGGAGGCAGCAGUGGGGAAUAUUGCACAAUGGGCGGAAGCCUGAUGCAGCAACGCCGCGUGCGGGAUGACGGCCUUCGGGUUGUAAACCGCCUUCGCCUGUGACGAAGCGUGAGUGACGGUAAUGGGUAAAGAAGCACCGGCUAACUACGUG